GACGAACGCUGGCGGCGUGCCUAAUACAUGCAAGUUGAGCGCUGACGGUUGGUACUUGUACCAACUGGAUGAGCAGCGAACGGGUGAGUAACGCGUGGGGAAUCUGCCUUUGAGCGGGGGACAACAUUUGGAAACGAAUGCUAAUACCGCAUAAAAACUUUAAACACAAGUUUUAAGUUUGAAAGAUGCAAUUGCAUCACUCAAAGAUGAUCCCGCGUUGUAUUAGCUAGUUGGUGAGGUAAAGGCUCACCAAGGCGAUGAUACAUAGCCGACCUGAGAGGGUGAUCGACCACAUUGGGACUGAGACACGGCCCAAACUCCUACGGGAGGCAGCAGUAGGGGAUCUUCGGCAAUGGACGAAAGUCUGACCGAGCAACGCCGCGUGAGUGAAGAAGGUUUUCGGAUCGUAAAACUCUGUUGGUAGAGAAGAACGUUGGUGAGAGUGGAAAGCUCAUCAAGUGACGGUAACUACCCAGAAAGGGACGGCUAACUACGUG
rnacentral:rRNA from 1 species